GAAAUGCGAUAAGUAAUGUGAAUUGCAGAAUUCAGUGAAUCAUCGAAUCUUUGAACGCACAUUGCGCCCGCCAGCACUCUGGCGGGCCUGCCUGUUCGAGCGUCAUUUCAACCAUCAAGCCCCCGGGCUUGCGUGUGGGACCUGCGGCUGCCCGCAGGCACUGAAAACCAGUGGCGGGCUCGCUGUCACCCCGGUCGUAGUAGUAUCAUCUCGUCGAGGGCGUGGCUCAGGGCUUCGGCCGUUAAACCUUCUCAAACCCAAAGGUUGACGUCGGAUCCGGUAGGAAUACCCGCUGAAUUUAA
rnacentral:misc_RNA from 1 species